rnacentral:rRNA from 1 species
UACGUAGGGGGCAAGCGUUGUCCGGAUUUAUUGGGCGUAAAGGGCUCGUAGGCGGCGUGUCGCGUCGGGAGUGAAAGCCCGUUGCUUAACGGCGGGUUGGCUUUCGGUACGGGCAUGCUGGAGUGCGGCAGGGGAGACUGGAAUUCCUGGUGUAGCGGUGAAAUGCGUAGAUAUCAGGAGGAACACCUGUGGCGAAAGCGGCUCACUGGACCAUAACUGACGCUGAUGCACGAAAGCUAGGGGAGCAAACAGG